UCACGCGGAGACCAGUUUGUGCCGGCGAGUCUUCGGCGUGGUUGCCGCAACUGUCCUAAUCCAUUAUUCGGUCUUCUUACAAUCGUUGCCGCAUCCUUCGCAGAAAAGCUUCGGCUGUUGUAGCGCUGAUCAUCAGACGCAAGUUUCGCCUGAGCACCAGGUACGAGCAGAAGUCGUCCAACAUGAAGAGGGAAGUUUGUGUGGGCCGUCAAGGCUCUUUGAUUUUGGCCGUCUCCGCGUACCUCAACCUGACUGCGUCAAAGAAGAACCCAUUGUCACAACCCGGACAAUGCGUCAUCAAACGGUCCCUCUCAUUGUCAAAUGAACUCCAAGAUGCCCUUCAAGCAGCAACUGCUGAAGACCCCCCUGCUUACGUCAAGGGCAAACGUUUUCUCCUUGCCAUUGGGAAUCUUGCUGGGAAAUUUAAUUAUCAGGAGGGAGCUCUGGUGCAGGAAAACUGACCGACACAAUAAAACAACUGGGCGGCAUGGAGAACAUGGGACCGGACAUCAUGGCGCAAAGUGUGAAAC